UGAUUUGACCAAAAGUAGAAAGACAAACAAAAGACAACAACUAGGGUCAAUUUUUUUCUUCUUCCAAAUUCAUGUUGGGAACAUUAUUCCCCCCUCUUUAAUUCUUGACAAUUUUGAUCAACCUACAAUUCAUUUUGCUCAUUUCUACUCAAAAUAUAUAUAUAAUCUUCUUGUUUUUUGAAUAUGGUGAGCCUACAUGGAUUGCAUGAAGAAAGAUUGGUAGCUGUGGCCAUUGAUAAAAAUAAAGGAAGCCAAUAUGCACUUAGAUGGGCUACUGAAAAUGUACUUACAAAAGGCCAAAAGGUUACAUUACUUCAUGUUCCUCAAACUCAAACUACAUCAGCACCACAAUCUCCAACAUAUAACAAUGGAGGCAAUGAUCCAUCAACUGCACAAGAUUCAAAUAGCCAAUGUACAGAUUUGUUCCUUCCUUUUCGCGUCUUUUGUUCUUUCAAAGAAAUAGAUUAUGAUCUAAUCAUACUUGAAGGUCAAGACAUUGCAAAGUCCCUUAUUGACUAUGUUUCACUUUAUAGAGUUCAAAAUUUGAUACUUGGUUGUCCAUCAAAGAAUGGAAUUUCAAGACUUUUCACUAAAAGUGAUGUUGCAAAUACUGUAAUGAAGAAGGCACCAAGCUUUUGCAAUGUUUACAUAGUUUCCAAAGGGAAAAUCAGUUCUACAAGAAUGGCUUCUCAUCCGUUGAAACGAAAAUCCUCGAAUCCUAGCAUAUGUAUCCCACCACAACGCAAUUCCAACUUUGAUGCAACGAAUUUAAUGUCUCCGUUUCCGAGGGUGAGUAUAUCAACCAACAAGACAUCAGAUGAGGUUUAUGUGGCAAAAGCUGAUAAUUCAUUUUCAGGUUCUGAUAGAAUGAGCACAGAUACUACUUUGUUCCUGGAUUGCUAUGAUAAUUUAGGAAGUGAAGUUCAUUCUCAUCGUCCCUCAGUAUCUAUGAAUUUUAUGGACAGCAAACACGUUGGAGAGCCUACGAGGUUGUCUGGUUUUGGUCCUACAAGGUUGGUUGAUCAUAUGCAUUCCGCAAAUGAGUUUCUACUAUCUGAACAGAACUGUGAAGAAAAUUCAUUGUCCGCCGAUAAAAUUAAAGAAAUGGAAGAAAAGCUGAGAAGACUAGAGUUGCAAACAAUUCAAACUAUGGAAAUGUACCAUGCAGCCUGCAAAGAAGCACUAAGAGAGAAGCAAAAGUUGAAGGAACUUGAAAAUUUGAGGAAGGAAGAUGUGAAGAAACUAGAAGAAGCAAGACGAGAAAAGGAAGAGGCAUUGGAUCAUGUUGCGAAGGAGAAAGCAUUAAGGAUUGCAUCAAAGGAAGAGGCGAAAGCCGCUCAAAAAAAGGCUGAAAAAGAGGCAGAAAAGAGAAAGCGUUCUGAAAGAAAAGCGCUUAAAAAAUCUGAGGCCAAGAAGUCUACUAUAAAGUCCUUAGUUUACUCCCAAAAGGCUAUAAAGUAUCAAAGUUUACUUAGGAUACUUGUGGUUUUGAUAAUUUUCUACCUUUAUUUCUUUGAGUUGUGAUGAUCAUUGAGUCAUGAGUAGAGAAGAAAAUGUGAGGGAUAUGAGGAGGAAGUUCUUCCGGCAAUCUCAGGCAUUUUACUAAUCGAUUAUUUGGCCUGGUCAUUGAUAUUGUCAUCAAUGAUUAAUCGGGAUCCUGAUGCAUAUAGAUACAAAUGGUUCAAUGGAAACAAAAUAAUCACGUUGGGGUUUGUUGUUGUUGUA